rnacentral:lncRNA from 1 species
UUGGAUUGAUGGAAUUUUAUGUUGAUGUAUGCUGAACGGUUGGGAUAUGUGUAUAUAUAUUGUUUUUUGUACAGGUAGAAUAUUUUGGGAAAUGAGCAAGUUACAGGGGAGACUCUGCCGAAUUUUCUGCAGAAGUCAAGCCAGAAGAAAAUAUUAGGUUUCUAGUUAGAAGGGGAGUUCAGUCAUUUGUGCUCGUCACCCGCCAGGUGUCAGACACGCACAGGGUUCGGCGCAGGUUCCAAAGUGGAAUUUGGGUCGGGUCCUGUCAACUUAGUAUCAUAGCAUUAGGUUAAAUUCCUGCAGACUCAUUAUCUCGUGUGCAUCCUUGUUAUGGGAAUUGUUGAUGCUUCUUG